rnacentral:rRNA from 1 species
CUACGGGACGCUGCAGUGAGGAAUAUUGGUCAAUGGCCGCAAGGCUGAACCAGCCAUGUCGCGUGAAGGAUGACUGCCCUAUGGGUUGUAAACUUCUUUUGUAUGGGAAGAAAGGUAUCUACGUGUAGAUAUUUGCCGGUACCAUACGAAUAAGGAUCGGCUAACUCCGUGCCAGCAGCCGCGGUAAUACGGAGGAUCCAAGCGUUUAUCCGGAUUUAUUGGGUUUAAAGGGUGCGUAGGUGGCUGUAUAAGUCAGGAGUGAAAUCUCGGAGCUCAACUCCGAACGUGCUAUUGAAACUGUAUAGCUUGAAUUCAGACGAGGCAGGCGGAAUGUGUAAUGUAGCGGUGAAAUGCAUAGAUAUUACACAGAACACCGAUAGCGAAGGCAGCUUGCCAGACUGCGAUUGACACUAAUGCACGAAAGCGUGGGUAGCGAACAGGAUUAGAUACCCUUGUAGUC